GGUAAACGCUGGCGGCGUGCCUAAUACAUGCAAGUCGAUCGAUGGAUGCCCAGCUUGCUGGGAGGAAAUAGAGGCGAGCGGGUGAGUAAUACGUAAGCAACCUGCCCACGAAGACCGGGAUAAUCCCUGGAAACGGGGACUAAGACCGGAUAGGUAACAGAACCGCAUGAUUUUGUUAUUAAAGGUUAAAAACACUGGUGGAUGGGCUUACGGUGCAUUAGCUAGUUGGUGAGGUAACGGCCCACCAAGGCGAUGAUGCAUAGCUGGUCUGAGAGGAUGAACAGCCACAUUGGGACUGAGACACGGCCCAGACUCCUACGGGAGGCAGCAGUAGGGAAUUUUCGGCAAUGGGGGAAACCCUGACCGAGCAACGCCGCGUGAGUGAAGAAGGUCUUCGGAUUGUAAAGCUCUGUUGUAAGGGAAGAAAUGUACUUUGAGAAAAAGUACUUGACGGUACCUUACCAGAAAGCUACGGCUAACUACGUGCCAGCAGCCGCGGUAAUACGUAGGUAGCGAGCGUUAUCCGGAAUUAUUGGGCGUAAAGGGUGCGUAGGCGGCCAUUUAAGUUCAUGGUGAAAGCGUGGGGCUCAACCCCAUAAAGCCAUGGAUACUGGAUGGCUGGAGUACUGGAGAGGGUAGUGGAAU
rnacentral:rRNA from 1 species